UACGUAGGGCGCAAGCGUUGUCCGGAAUUAUUGGGCGUAAAGAGCUCGUAGGCGGCUUGUCGCGUCGAUUGUGAAAGCCCGGGGCUUAACUCCGGGGUCUGCAGUCGAUACGGGCAGGCUAGAGUGUGGUAGGGGAGAUCGGAAUUCCUGGUGUAGCGGUGAAAUGCGCAGAUAUCAGGAGGAACACCGGUGGCGAAGGCGGAUCUCUGGGCCAUUACUGACGCUGAGGAGCGAAAGCGUGGGGAGCGAACAGG
rnacentral:rRNA from 1 species